AUUGCCUUAAGUGGCUUUGGAGGACUGGUCUUGUCAGGUAUUUGCUUGGGAGUUACACGUGACAGCCAGGCUGUGUGGAGCAGAGAACUGCUUGCCUUUCUGCAUGUAUCAGAAGGUUUGGGUGUACUGCUGUGCUCUUGCAAAUUGUUACACCAUCAAGAGCCAGAGAACCACUGGACGUUGGAUCAGCAUCAAUUUGGAAAUACAUUUCGCCAGACUUGGCUGCAAUUCUCUGGAGCCAUUGGUGUGAGCCCCCACCUGGAAACCCAUCUGGAAGACAACGGAACAUGGGGAGCAGUGGUGGAGCUCAGCAGUGAAUAUCAGAUGGAGCUACAUGUGCUGCAUCACACUGAGAGGCUAAAGCAGAUGACAGGAAGACAAGCAGAGCUGUAAUGCAUGGCGUGGCAUACAGUGACUGCCCGCCAACAUGGCAGAAGCAGCAGUGCUUCCCAGGGUCUUCCCAGCUUGCCUGGAUCUGACACAAAUGCUUGGCAAAGGUGCUGGAGGCAAGGCUGAAAGGGCACAGAGAUAGGAGACAAACUUGCAGCCCUUCUUUACUCUUGUUCUGCUUUAUUUUGCCUCUGCUUUAUGAUGCCUCUUCCAGUU